rnacentral:rRNA from 1 species
UACGGAGGGGGCGAGCGUUAUUCGGAAUUAUUGGGCGUAAAGGGCGCGUAGGCGGCUGUACAAGUCAAAGGUGAAAUCCCUCGGCUCAACUGAGGAACUGCCUUUGAAACUGUACGGCUUGAGGCCGGGAGGGGGUAGCGGAAUCCCCAGUGUAGCGGUGAAAUGCGUAGAUACUGGGAGGAACACCAGUGGCGAAGGCGGCUACCUGGACCGGUUCUGACGCUGAGGCGCGAAAGCGUGGGUAGCAAACAGG